AAUCAACGCUGGCGGCGUGCCUCAGACAUGCAAGUCGAACGCGAAAGUUCCCUUCGGGGGAUGAGUAGAGUGGCGCACGGGUGAGUAACACGUAGGUAAUCUACCUUCGGAUGGGGAAUAACAACCGGAAACGGUUGCUAAUACCGCAUAAUGCAGCGGCACCUAAUGGUGACAGUUGUUAAAGCGGGGAUCGAAAGACCUCGCGUCUGAAGAGGAGCCUGCGGCGGAUUAGCAGUUGGUAGGGUAACGGCCUACCAAGGCUACGAUCCGUAGCCGGCCUGAGAGGGCGGUCGGCCACACUGACACUGACAUACGGGUCAGACUCCUACGGGAGGCAGCAGUCGGGAAUUUUGGGCAAUGGGCGAAAGCCUGACCCAGCAACGCCGCGUGAAGGAUGAAAUCCCUC
rnacentral:rRNA from 1 species